CCUACGGGAGGCAGCAGUGGGGAAUAUUGGACAAUGGGGGCAACCCUGAUCCAGCCAUGCCGCGUGUGUGAAGAAGGCCCUCGGGUUGUAAAGCACUUUCAGUGAGGAAGAACGCCUGGUGGUUAAUACCCAUCAGGAAAGACAUCACUCACAGAAGAAGCACCGGCUAACUCCGUGCCAGCAGCCGCGGUAAUACGGAGGGUGCGAGCGUUAAUCGGAAUUACUGGGCGUAAAGCGCGCGUAGGUGGCAUGAUAAGCCGGUUGUGAAAGCCCCGGGCUCAACCUGGGAACGGCAUCCGGAACUGUCAAGCUAGAGUGCAGGAGAGGAAGGUAGAAUUCCCGGUGUAGCGGUGAAAUGCGUAGAGAUCGGGAGGAAUACCAGUGGCGAAGGCGGCCUUCUGGACUGACACUGACACUGAGGUGCGAAAGCGUGGGUAGCAAACAGGAUUAGAUACCCUUGUAGUC
rnacentral:rRNA from 1 species